GGGCGAUUAGCUCAGCGGUAGAGCACUACCUUGACAUGGUAGGGGUCACAGGUUCGAACCCUGUAUCGCCCA
rfam:Arenimonas oryziterrae DSM 21050 = YC6267 contig1, whole genome shotgun sequence.